AGUACACAGUACUUGCACUCAGUCAUUGGACAUCAUAGUUCAAAAAGUCACCAAUCCUAAUUGAGGCCAUUGCUGACAUGCCAUCUACCUUUGAAGAGCCUGCCUUUAAUAGUUAACCGGGAAGCUUGCUAGUUUUGGUUUAUCACUCAGACAUGAUAUUGAAGCCACAUGUAACCCACUGCUAUUUCACCACCUGCAGAUUGGCUGUGUUUAGGUAGAUUGGGCUUUGUUGACCAGAGGGUAUUUAGUUUAGAGGAUUAGAUUUAUUACAUGCACUCAAAAUCUGAAGCCUUGGAUUAGCUGGCAAAUCUUGUGAAAUGUUUUCGGCAAUGAAAGGCAAAGACCUGGGGAAUGAAAUAUCGUUUCCACCAACACCCACUUCAUUAGACCUCUUUGCAUUCGUUUGAAUUUUCCACUCCCCAAACCAGCAAACUUAGUU